UGCAUAACUCCUUCUGGGGGAAGCCAUCUGCCAUAUUGUGAGGACACUCAAGCAGUUCUAUGAAAGGUCUACACAGCAAGGAACUGAGGCCUCCUUCCAACAGUCAGUGAGGAAUUAAGGUCCUCAUGCCAACAACCACAUCCAAGAUGCACAAGUAUAAGCAUUUUUCCUGAACAAACCCUUUUGAACUUCAAAAAAAUCUAUGAGUCUGGUGAAGAGAUGGGUGGAUAAAAUGUCCUGGCGCUCGCAAAGAAGAAAACGGCAGAUUCUGAAAGAUAAGAUGCUGCCUCUUGGAAAGUUUCUUAGUGGAACCAUUAAAUAGGAGAUGGUAGCAUACCUACGAAAGAAGGAAAGGAAAGCUCAGGAUGGACUUCUCUUUCCAGCUGUGUCCCCAUCAGCCGUUGAUGGAAAACAAAGGAGGAGCAGCUCCAGGAGCCCCUGAGAACAACUAUGGAGCCACUCAAGGGGGCAGAUCCAGGCUGCAGUCAUGGGCCUUCCCAAGCCCAGAAAGUGGCUGCUAGUUCACUGUUCUCGCAAGCACUUGGAUACACUUUCUUUGAUGUCCCUUCUUUUCUACAAGAAAUGGCCAUAUCUGCAGUUGAGUAGCUUUCUUAGCCUGAUUCCUGCCUAGAGAUAUUUAGGAAUUCAGAGGUCUUUGUGCAAAUUUCACAAUCUCAGUUCCUGCUACAGCAGUGUGGUUGUUUAGAUCCCCUGAAUGAAUCACCUCACUGAGACAAAUACAACAACAGGUGCAACAUAAGAAACACCUUUAAAUGUAAUGCUGAGCUGGCACAGAAGCUAGAAAUCCACAGAACGACUUGGAAAUAUCAGGCACCAAUCCUGGUUCUGUGAGAUCUUAAACUUACAAAAUUUGGAGGACCUCCAACAAAAGAAUACUAAAUUUAAAAAACAAAAUGAGGUGCAGUAUCUUGGAAAGAGUCUAUGCAAAUGGAGAGUUCUAAAACUCAUGUUUCAUUAACUUCACAGUACAUCUGCUUCCAGAAAGUAGUAAACCUAGAAAAAGUGUAUUAUUUGAGAGGACAAUAGAGAUAUUGAUAAACUUUAGACAUUCUUAAAUGUGCAUAUUGAAAUAGCUAAGAUAACCAUUAAUAGAACAGACGUAGACUAUAUACCUUUAAAACAAUUAGAGGGAAAACAAUGGAUCAGAUUUUAAGGCACUCCAUCUGAAUUAAGGCACAAAAGGAGAAGAUAAAAGAGGAUGAAACAAAUAUAAAUUGCAUAGUAAAAAUGUAGGCAUAAAUCCUAAUUGCACUAAAUAGAAAUGGAAAGAAAGUCUCCCCUAAAAUAUGAGGACCAUCAGUCUGAACAAAAUAGAAAAACCAAAUUCAACUAUAUAAUGAUUAUAAGAGAUAACUGUAAAACCUAAAGACACAGAAUAAAUGAAAUCAAAAGAUGGAAUAAAACGCAUUAGGGAAAUAAUAACCUGAAAAGAAAAUUCUAAAUUUAAAUACUACUAAUAGCCUCAAAUAUAUAAAGCAAGAAUUACUGGAACAACGAAGAGAAAUUGAUGAAUUACCUUAAUGAUGGAAUAUUUUAACACAGCUUCUCUAAGUAAGUGAUACGACAAGCAGCUAUCACACCUAACGAACGAAGAAUAUACAUGUUUCUCACAUAGAAAACACUUAUAAAAUUUGACCACAUAUUGAUCAUAAAGCUAUCCUCAACAAACUUCAAAAAAUUUGUAUCAUACAGAGCACAUAUUCUGAUUACAACAUAAUUAGGUUAGACAUAAAUAACAAAAAAGAUAACUUAAAAUGUUUUAAAAUUAUAAAGGCAUAUUCCUAAAUAAUUCAUGGGACAAAAAAGAAAUAAAAAUGAAAAUUAGAAAAUAUUUAUAAAUGAAUAUAAUAAAAAUAGUAGGUAUUACCUUCAUGGUACUUAGAGGGAAAUUUGUAGCCUGAAAUGCUUAAAGUAGAAAAGAAGCCUCAAAAUUAGUGAGUUAGACAAC